CGCUUCUUGUGGACAAACGGUUUCAGCCAGGAGGGAGGACUCUCUGCCAAAGCUUGCCACAUAAAGAUAUAGGGAUAUUGGUCCGGGAGCAAAAAGAGCAGCCCCCCGACCUAACACCCCGCACUCUGGAUCUUCCCACCCGUGUCUCAGGUAAACAUUCAAAGUGGAGUGGGCCCAGGCGGAAUGUAAAUCAGUAUUUGAACUAAGUUAAGUUUGUUGGUUUAAUUAAGAUAGACAUGUCUUUUAAGCCCUAAAUGUGAAACUUCGAAAUUUACUGAAGGUCCAAUAAGCUCGUGUUAUUUGUUAAAAUUUGUUAGCAAAGAGAUGACUAAACUGAUGGUUAAUUGUCUGUCUCAAAGUUUUAAUGGGUAAUUGCUGAGAUAGCUUUCAAAGUCUUUGGUAACCUGAAACUUUAAAGUUUUGGUUGGAUGACAAAUGGAAUUAAAUUAUGGACAUCUAGGUCUUAAUCAAACAGGAUAAAAUGCUAAGUCAUUAAUUACUGGAUGUAGGUUUGUGCUUUUGACUUCUUAUUGCAAAAAAUCCAAGAAUAUUUAAAUCUGUUAAGUAAACGUGUUUUGU
rnacentral:lncRNA from 1 species